rnacentral:rRNA from 1 species
UACGGAGGGGGUUAGCGUUGUUCGGAAUGACUGGGCGUAAAGCGCGCGUAGGCGGAUCGCUAAGUCAGGGGUGAAAUCCCAGGGCUCAACCCUGGAACUGCCUUUGAUACUGACGAUCUGGAGAUCGGGAGAGGUUGGUGGAAUUCCGAGUGUAGAGGUGAAAUUCGUAGAUAUUCGGAGGAACACCAGAAGCGAAGGCGGCCAACUGGCCCGAUACUGACGCUGAGGCGCGAAAGCGUGGGGAGCAAACAGG